rnacentral:rRNA from 1 species
GGGCCCGCACAAGCGGUGGAGUAUGUGGUUUAAUUCGAUGCAACGCGAAGAACCUUACCAGGGUUUGACAUCCUGCGAAUCUCUUGGAAACUUGAGAGUGCCUUCGGGAGCGCAGUGACAGGUGGUGCAUGGCUGUCGUCAGCUCGUGUCGUGAGAUGUUGGGUUAAGUCCCGCAACGAGCGCAACCCACGUCUUUAGUUGCCAGCAUUUAGUUGGGCACUCUAGAGAGACCGCCGGUGAUAAACCGGAGGAAGGUGUGGAUGACGUCAAGUCAUCAUGGCCCUUACGGCCUGGGCUACACACGUGCUACAAUGGCUAGGACAGACGGCCGCAAACCCGCGAGGGGGAGCCAA